AGCGAACGCUGGCGGCAGGCCUAACACAUGCAAGUCGAACGAACUCUUCGGAGUUAGUGGCGGACGGGUGAGUAACACGUGGGAACGUGCCUUUAGGUUCGGAAUAACUCAGGGAAACUUGUGCUAAUACCGAAUGUGCCCUUCGGGGGAAAGAUUUAUCGCCUUUAGAGCGGCCCGCGUCUGAUUAGCUAGUUGGUGAGGUAAAGGCUCACCAAGGCGACGAUCAGUAGCUGGUCUGAGAGGAUGAUCAGCCACAUUGGGACUGAGACACGGCCCAAACUCCUACGGGAGGCAGCAGCGGGGAAUCUUGCGCAAUGGGCGAAAGCCUGACGCAGCCAUGCCGCGUGAAUGAUGAAGGUCUUAGGAUUGUAAAAUUCUUUCACCGGGGACGAUAAUGACGGUACCCGGAGAAGAAGCCCCGGCUAACUUCGUG
rnacentral:rRNA from 1 species